GCGGCAGGCUCGGCUAGAGCCCCGGACUGAUAAUCCGGUGGUGGCGGGUUCGAGCCCCGCCGCCCCGCA
rfam:Mycobacterium vanbaalenii PYR-1, complete genome.